rnacentral:rRNA from 1 species
AUUUUCAGGCGCAGAUCCGUCCCGACCCAUGUGACGUUACCAAACUGUAUGCACAUCGGCGGGAUCUCUGCCCCGGGUGCGUCGCAGCCCCGGACCAAGGCGCCCGCCGGAGGACCAACCAAAACUCUUUUUGUAUACCCCCUCGCGGGUUUUUUAUAAUCUGAGCCUUCUCGGCGCCUCUCGUAGGCGUUUCGAAAAUGAAUCAAAACUUUCAACAACGGAUCUCUUGGUUCUGGCAUCGAUGAAGAACGCAGCGAAAUGCGAUAAGUAAUGUGAAUUGCAGAAUUCAGUGAAUCAUCGAAUCUUUGAACGCACAUUGCGCCCGCCAGUAUUCUGGCGGGCAUGCCUGUCCGAGCGUCAUUUCAACCCUCGAACCCCUCCGGGGGGUCGGCGUUGGGGAUCGGCCCUCCCUUAGCGGGUGGCCGUCUCCGAAAUACAGUGGCGGUCUCGCCGCAGCCUCUCCUGCGCAGUAGUUUGCACACUCGCAUCGGGAGCGCGGCGCGUCCACAGCCGUUAAACACCCAACUUCUGAAAUGUUGACCUCGAAUCAAGUAGGAAUACACGCUGAACUUACGGAUAGCAUUACUACGAAGAGAUCUU